CGGAGGGUGCAAGCGUUAUCCGGAUUCACUGGGUUUAAAGGGUGCGUAGGAGGGCAGGUAAGUCAGUGGUGAAAUCUCCGGGCUUAACUCGGAAACUGCCGUUGAUACUAUCUGUCUUGAAUACCGUGGAGGUGAGCGGAAUAUGUCAUGUAGCGGUGAAAUGCUUAGAUAUGACAUAGAACACCGAUUGCGAAGGCAGCUCACUACACGAAUAUUGACUCUGAGGCACGAAAGCGUGGGGAUCAAACAGGAUUAGAUACCCUGGUAGUCCACGCCCUAAACUAUGGAUACUCGACAUACGCGAUACACUGUGUGUGUCUGAGCGAAAGCAUUAAGUAUCCCACCUGGGAAGUACGACCGCAAGGUUG
rnacentral:rRNA from 1 species